AUGUGGUUUAAUCGAAGCAACGCGAAGAACCUUUACCAGGUCUUGACAUCCGAUGCUAUUUCUAGAGAUAGAAAGUUACUUCGGUACAUCGGUGACAGGUGGUGCAUGGUUGUCGUCAGCUCGUGUCGUGAGAUGUUGGGUUAAGUCCCGCAACGAGCGCAACCCCUAUUGUUAGUUGCCAUCAUUCAGUUGGGCACUCUAGCGAGACUGCCGGUAAUAAACCGGAGGAAGUGGGAUGACGUCAAAUCAUCAUGCCCCUUAUGACCUGGGCUACACACGUGCUACAAUGGUUGGUACAACGAGUUGCGAGUCGGUGACGGCGAGCUAAUCUCUUAAAGCCAAUCUCAGUUCGGAUUGUAGGCUGCAACUCGCCUACAUGAAGUCGGAAUCGCUAGUAAUCGCGGAUCAGCACGCCGCGGUGAAUACGUUCCCGGGCCUU
rnacentral:rRNA from 1 species